rnacentral:rRNA from 1 species
UACGGAGGGUGCAAGCGUUAUCCGGAUUCACUGGGUUUAAAGGGUGCGUAGGUGGGCAAGUAAGUCAGUGGUGAAAUCUCCGGGCUUAACCCGGAAACUGCCAUUGAUACUAUUUGUCUUGAAUACUGUGGAGGUCAGCGGAAUAUGUCAUGUAGCGGUGAAAUGCUUAGAUAUGACAUAGAACACCAAUUGCGAAGGCAGCUGGCUACACAAAUAUUGACACUGAGGCACGAAAGCGUGAGGAUCAAACAGG